GACGAACGCUGGCGGCGUGCUUAACACAUGCAAGUCGAACGGAAAGGCCCUGCUUUUGUGGGGUGCUCGAGUGGCGAACGGGUGAGUAACACGUGAGUAACCUGCCCUUGACUUUGGGAUAACUUCAGGAAACUGGGGCUAAUACCGGAUAGGAGCUCCUGCUGCAUGGUGGGGGUUGGAAAGUUUCGGCGGUUGGGGAUGGACUCGCGGCUUAUCAGCUUGUUGGUGGGGUAGUGGCUUACCAAGGCUUUGACGGGUAGCCGGCCUGAGAGGGUGACCGGCCACAUUGGGUCUGAGAUACGGCCCAGACUCCUACGGGAGGCAGCAGUGGGGAAUAUUGCACAAUGGGCGGAAGCCUGAUGCAGCAACGCCGCGUGCGGGAUGACGGCCUUCGGGUUGUAAACCGCUUUCGCCUGUGACGAAGCGUGAGUGACGGUAAUGGGGAAAGAAGCACCGGCUAACUACGU
rnacentral:rRNA from 1 species